rnacentral:rRNA from 1 species
UGUGAAUAAGUGACAGGACGUAUUGGGGCUGUCGCCUGCCCGGUGCUGGAUGGUUAAGAGGUGUGCUUAGCUUCGGCGAUGGUACGAUUUGAAGCCCCAGUAAACGGCGGCCGUAACUAUAACGGUCCUAAGGUAGCGUUAUUCCUUGUCGGGUAAGUUCCGACCCGCACGAUUGGCGCAUCGAUCUGGGCACUGUCUCAACGUGAGACUCGGUGAAUUUAUAGUAC